AGUGAACGCUGGCGGUAGGCCUAACACAUGCAAGUCGAACGGCAGCACAGUAAGAGCUUGCUCUUACGGGUGGCGAGUGGCGGACGGGAGAGGAAUACAUCGGAAUCUACUUUUUCGGGGGGGAUAACGUAGGGAAACUUACGCUAAUACCGCAUACGACCUACGGGUGAAAGCAGGGGAUCUUCUGACCUUGCGCGAAUGAAUGAGCCGAUGUCGGAUUAGCUAGUUGGGGGGGUAAAGGCCCACCAAGGCGAGGAUCCGUAGCUGGUCUGAGAGGAUGGUAGCCGGCACUGGAACUGGGCCACGGUCAUGACUCCUACGGGAGGCCGCAGUCGGGAAUAUUAGACAAUGGUCGCAAGCCUGAUACAGCCAUCCCGCGUGGGUGACGAAGGCCUUCGGGUUGUAAAGCCCUUUUGUUGGGAAAGAACAGCAGCAGGUUAAUACCACGCUGUUCUGACGGUACCCAAAGAAUAAGCACCGGCUAACUUCGUG
rnacentral:rRNA from 1 species